rnacentral:lncRNA from 12 species
CACAGAAACACGUCUGAAAUGCGAGCUGCACUAGAAUCCCCCAAAACAAGAGACUUGAUGAAUUAUGUGGACUCCACCUCACCCUGCAGCAUGAAUGGCCUUAACAGUGCAGCUCCAGGACAAACUGAGUGUAGACCUAAGUUCCCUGUGCUGCUUCCCAGGGAACUGCCACCUCUGUACUUCCAGACAGGGAAUCUUGCCUUCCA